UUGAGUAACCCCAGGGUGCACCCUGGACGAUGAGGCGGGGCGACACUUCUUGGCGGAGCGACACGUGUCGUGCCGCCCAUAUUUGUUCCCCCCGCCUUUGGCAUUUUCUUCCGACCCAGCAGGGGGCAGUUAGCGUUGAAACGGUGGCAACUGCGGCAGCAGAGUAAUAAUAACCAAGUUGAUUGCAUGAGGUGAAAGCAAAGAGUUCUUUGGUAGAAGUGUUCAGAAAAAGUGGAAGUAACGAUUUGAACUGUUGCCUAAGAAUCAUAAGGCACAUCGCUUUCUGCAUGGAUGUCAAUGUGUUGCUAAUUCCUACGUGAUAGUGACCUGGCUUUCACUACAUUCUUGUUUUUCUGGGUUGUCUUUUUUGAAACAUUGCAAAACUCAUCGACAGCAGAAAUUGGACGAGAAACUGCCAAUACAUUUGAAGUGAAACAUUUUAUAUACAUGCUAACAAAAGUCUGUUUCAUUACAUAAAUUAUAACAUUUACAAUAAUUGAUGUGAUGGUAAUCUGUAAAGGUAAAACUAUGUGCUUGUUUUCAUCCAAACCUCACAGGGAAUCCCGAAGCAGAUCGGUGGGAACCACUUUGGGAUUAUCAUACUAAUGAAUGAUGCCUCUGAUUAGUAGGUGGUGGUGUUUUGUUCUCCUGGACAAUCACUCAACCACUAAGGGGGGUCUUAACUAUUUAAAAGGCAAUGUCUUCAGGCAGAGUCCAGUGAAGUGACUCUGCGUAUUUGACACUUUCUCUGGGAUGCAGAUGGUUUAUGGAUGUGGUCACUCAAGAUGUUUUUCAGAAAGCAGUGCAACACUUUACAUGGCCAGCCGCCAGACGACUUUAAGGUGUGGCCAUCUGGAAGAAUUUCAGUCCUGUCUACUGGACAGAGUUUAGAUUGUGUACAGCGUCAGGGAAUGCUUGCAGUGCAGAGCCCUUUUCAAGUCAUACCCACCAGGGUUUAGGGCAGGAGUGGGGAACCCUGGGUCCUGGAGGGCCACUGUCCUGCAGAGUUUAGUUCCAACCCUAAUCAAACACACCUGAAUUUAAUUUCCAAGUGAUCGUGAAGACUUGAAUUAGAUUUUUCAGGUGUGUUUAAUUAGGGUUGGAACAAAACUCUGCAGGACAAUGGCCCUCCAGGACCAGGGUUCCCCACCCCUGGUUUAGGGGAAGAGGCCGACGUGGUGAACUUCUGGGCUUUUACUGAAAUGUUUGCACAGGAUUUUGCUUCCAGGACUGUUUUUUUUUUGCGGCAGAAAACUCAUUGGUGUGUUAAGCGAGAAUGAACUGAGAUCAACUGGUUUUGAUGUAUGAAUUAAUAAUUUAAAGUUAAACUGUGAAGUGUAUAGUGUUCUAAUAAAAAAGCUAUGGCAAACACGUGCAUGAAAACAA